GAUGAACGCUGGCGGCGUGCUUAACACAUGCAAGUCGAGCGAAGCACUUAACUUUGAUUCUUUCGGGAUGAAGAGUUCUGUGACUGAGCGGCGGACGGGUGAGUAACGCGUGGGUAACCUGCCUCAUACAGGGGGAUAACAGUUAGAAAUGGCUGCUAAUACCGCAUAAGACCACAGCACCGCAUGGUGCAGGGGGUAAAAACUCCGGUGGUAUGAGAUGGACCCGCGUCUGAUUAGCUAGUUGGUGGGUAACGGCCUACCAAGGCGACGAUCAGUAGCCGACCUGAGAGGGUGACCGGCACAUUGGGACUGAGACACGGCCCAAACGUCCUACGGGAGCAGCAGUGGGGAAUAUUGCACAAUGGGGGAAACCCUGAUGCAGCGACGCCGCGUGAGCGAAGAAGUAUUUCGGAUGUAAAGCUCUAUCAGCAGGGAANAAAAUGACGGUACCUGACUAAGAAG
rnacentral:rRNA from 1 species